GAUGAACGCUGGCGGCGUGCCUAAUACAUGCAAGUCGAGCGAACAGACGAGGAGCUUGCUCCUCUGACGUUAGCGGCGGACGGGUGAGUAACACGUGGAUAACCUACCUAUAAGACUGGGAUAACUUCGGGAAACCGGAGCUAAUACCGGAUAACAUGUUGAACCGCAUGGUUCAACAGUGAAAGACGGUUUUGCUGUCACUUAUAGAUGGAUCCGCGUCGCAUUAGCUAGUUGGUAAGGUAACGGCUUACCAAGGCAACGAUGCGUAGCCGACCUGAGAGGGUGAUCGGCCACACUGGAACUGAGACACGGUCCAGACUCCUACGGGAGGCAGCAGUAGGGAAUCUUCCGCAAAGGGCGAAAGCCUGACGGAGCAACGCCGCGUGAGUGAAGAAGGUCUUCGGAUCGUAAAACUCUGUUAUUAGGGAAGUACAAAUGUGUAAGUAACUAUGCACGUCUUGACGGUACCUAAUCAGAAAGCCACGGCUAACUACGUG
rnacentral:rRNA from 1 species